GUGACAUGAUGAAGCAGUUUAUCCAUUCUCUGAGUGCUGCAGCCUUUUCAGAGACCCUGGCUCGGCUCUCGUUCUGGGGGCGGAGUUACUCUGUGGCUAUCCUGGUGUUGUUUCGGCGUUCUGCCGAGCUCAGACCAGGAUUUUGACGGAGACGGGCUCUACUGGCUGCUGCCAAGACGACUUUUCUGCUCUGAUCACAUGUUACCGAGACGACUUGGAGUUAACCAGGUUUUAU